CGAGUGUAGCGGGAAGAGCUCAAGCUUGAAAUCUCUGUUGCUUGCAACAGCGAAUUGUAGUCUCGAGAAACAUUGUCAAAGCAACUGCGUUGUACUCAAGUUGUUUGGAACGACACGUCGUAGAGGGUGAGAACCCCGUUCGAGGUACAACGCAUUGCCCACGAGGUGUUUUCCAUGAGUCGGGUUGCUUGGGAAUGCAGCCCAAAAUGGGAGGUAAACUCCUUCUAAAGCUAAAUAUGGGCACGAGACCGAUAGCGAACAAGUACCGUGAGGGAAAGAUGAAAAGCACUUUGAAAAGAAAGUUAAGAGUACGUGAAACCGUUAGUAGGGAAGCGCAUGGAAUUAGCAAUGCUUGGCGGAGAUUCAGGUUUGUGUGGGAGUCCUUGCCGGCGGUUACAGAUCCAAUAGGACUGUGCUGUUGGCACUGGUCUUUUGCCUUAUCGCACUUUUCCGUCGGGUGCGUCAACGAGUGUUCGGACUGAACUACACGUCUCGGAGAAAGGUAGCAGGCUUCGGUCUGUGUUAUAGGCUUCGAUGACUAGUUCAGGCUGGACAGAGGAGAUUAGCGGUGCGUGCUUCACGGCUGGCCUCCUUUGCGAUUGUUAGUUGUCGACCAUGGUAGACUGCGUGCAGUGUACUUGAACCGCGGCUGGCCUUCGUAGGGGUAAGGUACAAACGCGCCAAGGUCGUUGGCGGUCAUAUGGUUUCAUACGACCCGUCUUGAAACACGGACCAAGGAGUCUGACAUGUGUGCGAGUCUUAGAGUGAUUGAAACUCUCCGGCUGAAUGAAAGUAAAGGGUCCUUGCGGCCUGAAGUGAGAUCUGUGCACUCGUGUGCAGCGCAUCAUUGACCGACCUAUUCUACUCUUAGAAAGGUUUGAGUAAGAGCAUAUAUGUUGGGACCCGAAAGAUGGUGAACUAU
rnacentral:rRNA from 1 species